UUUCCCUUUUACUGAAAUCUCAGACCACAAUAUUAAAAAGGGGAAUAAAAACAAAAAAUAUUGGGUUGCAUAAAACAUAUCACAGAGAAAGCCAUUCCAAUUGAUGAUAUUAGUGUCUCUAGCCAAUGCUUAUUGCUUAAUAAAAUAUAUCUAUGAUGAAUAAUAUUUUCAUUGACUAAUUUCUUCUAGUUCUUUCUCAAAGGGAAAUAGCUUUACAGUGAGAAAUUUUACUUUUACAGGUGUUGAA
rnacentral:misc_RNA from 1 species